rnacentral:sRNA from 1 species
AGACAGCCCUGAUGGUAGUGGUAUCCUUUCUUUGCCUUCUUUAGGCAAAGAAAGAUAUAACGGACAGCAGGAAUAGCU